UGUGUAGGCGGUUGGAUAAGUGUGGUGUGAAAUCUCCCGGCUUAACUGGGAGGGUGCGCUACAAACUGUCUGACUAGAGUGUGGGAUGGGAGAGUGGAAUUCCUGGUGUAGCGGUGAAAUGCGUAGAUAUCAGGAGGAACACCGGUGGUGUAGACGGCUCUCUGGACCAUAACUGACGCUGAGACACGAAAGCGUGGGUAGCAAACAGGAUUAGAUACCCUGGUAGUCCACGCCCUAAACGAUGCAUAUUUGGUGUGGGUCAUUCAUUUGAUCCGUGCCGGAGCUAACGCGUUAAAUAUGCCGCCUGGGGAGUACAGUCGCAAGGCUGAA
rnacentral:rRNA from 1 species